GUCACACUAGAUUGAAAUUGAAUUUGCGAACUGAAUUUUUCGAGUUUCUAGUGGCACAAAUAUCAGCCCAUAGGGACGCAACAGAGGCUGGCCGUUGUAAGCAGGUGGCGGAAAAAAUAAACGGACCAAUUUAAGCAUCCUUUUCAAUAAUCGAUGGGUGCUCAGUGCGAAUUCCCUUAAGAUUGCCCAGCAGUAAACUUUCGUCUACCCUCUGCUGGACGCGUACAAUCGUAAACAACCAGGACGAGCAUGAAGGGAUUGAAUUAGAUCCCAAAAAGACUGAGUUCAACGGAGAAACUGCACAAACGAUGUAAUGUGCCAGCAUCCCUCAACAGUUUGCCAGACUGGAAACCAAUCUGCAGGCCCCCGUCAUCGUCUGCUCUUUCCACUCAGUGGCCGGUGAUACGGGUGGUUGUGUGGGGGAUACCUCCAAUACCACACUCUCAUCAACCGACGACAUCUGAUGGUGAGGAAGGUACGAAAAACUAUCCACUUCAUAUAGUCGGUGAGGGUGGUGGGUGUGGCGAUCAUCACAUUUAAAUUUUUGUUUAAAAUUUAAAAGUGAUGAUCCAAGGAAUUGUUGAGGCCAUUUUGUGCAAGCUAAGGGGUCGAUUCUCCCCUGCACUUCAUUCAAAAAAAAAAAGUGUACCAAAUUUUGUCUGGAAAUUGCCAAGUACCUUGCCUUUCAGAAGGUAUAAGACUUGUU